GGUUGUAAACUGCUUUUAUACGGGAAGAAACCCACCUACGUGUAGGUGGCUGACGGUACCGUAAGAAUAAGGACCGGNNNACUCCGUGCCAGCAGCCGCGGUAAUACGGAGGGUCCGAGCGUUAUCCGGAAUCAUUGGGUUUAAAGGGUCCGCAGCGGCCAGAUAAGUCAGUGGUGAAAUUCCGUGGCUCAACCACGGAACUGCCAUUGAUACUGUUUGGCUUGAAUCAGUUCGAGGAUGCCGGAAUGUGUGGUGUAGCGGUGAAAUGCAUAGAUAUCACACAGAACACCAAUUGCGAAGGCAGGUGUCCAGAACUGUAUUGACGCUGAUGGACGAAAGCGUGGGUAGCGAACAGGAUUAGAUACCCUGGUAGUCCACGCCGUAAACGAUGGUCACUAGCUGUCCGGACUUAGGUCUGGG
rnacentral:rRNA from 1 species